rnacentral:rRNA from 1 species
AAGCCAGUCGAAGAUACCAGCUGGCUGCAACUGUUUAUUAAAAACACAGCACUGUGCAAACACGAAAGUGGACGUAUACGGUGUGACGCCUGCCCGGUGCUGGAAGGUUAAUUGAUGGGGUUAGCGUAAGCGAAGCUCCUGAUCGAAGCCCCAGUAAACGGCGGCCGUAACUAUAACGGUCCUAAGGUAGCGAAAUUCCUUGUCGGGUAAGUUCCGACCUGCACGAAUGGCGUAAUGAUGGCCAGGCUGUCUCCACCCGAGACUCAGUGAAAUUGAACUCGCUGUGAAGAUGCAGUGUACCCGCGGCAAGACGGAAAGACCCCGUGAACCUUUACUAUAGCUUGACACUGAACAUUGAGCCUUGAUGUGUAGGAUAGGUGGGAGGCUUUGAAGUGUGGACGCCAGUCUGCAUGGAGCCAACCUUGAAAUACCACCCUUUAACGUUUGAUGUUCUAACCUAGGCCCAUAAACUGGGUCGGGGACCGUGUCUGGUGGGUAGUUUGACUGGGGCGGUCUCCUCCUAAAGAGUAACGGAGGAGCACGAAGGUUGGCUAAGCAUGGUCGGACAUCAUGCGGUUAGUGCAAAGGCAUAAGCCAGCUUGACUGCGAGAGUGACGGCUCGAGCAGGUACGAAAGUAGGUCUUAGUGAUCCGGUGGUUCUGAAUGGAAGGGCCAUCGCUCAACGGAUAAAAGGUACUCCGGGGAUAACAGGCUGAUACCGCCCAAGAGUUCAUAUCGACGGCGGUGUUUGGCACCUCGAUGUCGGCUCAUCACAUCCUGGGGCUGAAGUAGGUCCCAAGGGUAUGGCUGUUCGCCAUUUAAAGUGGUACGCGAGCUGGGUUUAGAACGUCGUGAGACAGUUCGGUCCCUAUCUGCCGUGGGCGUUGGAAGAUUGAGAGGGGUUGCUCCUAGUACGAGAGGACCGGAGUGAACGCACCACUGGUGUUCGGGUUGUCAUGCCAAUGGCAUUGCCCGGUAGCUAAGUGCGGAAGAGAUAACCGCUGAAAGCAUCUAAGCGGGAAACUUGCCUCGAGAUGAGUCUUCCCUGUCGCUUUAAGCGACCUAAAGGAACGUUUAAGACUAAGACGUUGAUAGGCUGGGUGUGUAAGCGUAGCGAUACGUUGAGCUAACCAGUACUAAUGAAC